ACUCAAUAGAUACCCAGGUAGUCCACGCCCUAAACGAUGUCAACUGGCUUUACGGAGUAUCGACCCUCUGUGAGGCGAAAGCUAACGCGUUAAGUUGACCGCCUGGGUAGUACGACCGCAGGGUUAAAACUCAAAGGAAUAGACGGGGGCUUGCACAAGCGGUGGAGCGUGUGGCUUAAAUUCGUCGCUAAGCGAAGAACCUUACUAGGGCUAGAAAUCCUACUGCACGUCUAGCGAAAGCUAGAAAGCCUUCGAGGGUGUAGGACAGGUGAUGCAUGGCUGUCGUCAGUUCGUGGUUUGAAUCGUUCCCUUCAGUGGGGUAACGAACGCAACCCUCGUUGCCAGUUACAAGUGUCUGGCGAGACUGCCCCCUCACGGGGGAGGAAGGUGAGGAUGACGCCAAGUCAGCAUGUCCCUCUGAUGUCCUGGGCUGCACACGCGCUACAAUCGCCUUUACAAAGGGACGCAAUGCGGUAACGCGGAGCAAAUCCUUAAAACGAGGCGCCAGUUC
rnacentral:rRNA from 1 species